UACGGAGGGUGCGAGCGUUGUCCGGAAUCACUGGGCGUAAGGGGCGCGUAGGUGGCCCGUUAAGUGGCUGGUGAAAUCCCGCGGCUCAACUGCGGGGCUGCCGGUCAUACUGGCGAGCUAGAGCACGGUAGGGGCAGAUGGAAUUCCCGGUGUAGCGGUGGAAUGCGUAGAGAUCGGGAAGAAUACCAGUGGCGAAGGCGUUCUGCUGGGCCGUUGCUGACACUGAGGCGCGACAGCGUGGGGAGCAAACAGG
rnacentral:rRNA from 1 species